CAGUAACUGACAGAAGCAGAUGCAGAGUUCCACAACCAAGCACCAGGCUCAGCUCUGGGAGUCCAGUCAAAGAGAGGGAAAAAGGUCACGGGAUCUGAAGUCAGUGUGAAGAAACUGCUCACUUAGAACGAACUCCAAAGAUAAUGUCCUGUCACAAUUAUUGGUAAAUGAAAUGGAUUCAGCAUGCAGAGUUAUUGUUUUUUUCCUCAUCCAUUAUUCUUUUCAAUUUAUUUUUUCCUUCAAUUUUUUCCAUUCAUAAUUUAAAAUAUUAAUAACAUGACACAUAGCAGAUUUCAGAUGCAUUAUAAACUAGCUACAGUAAGUGUAUCAGUAAAAGUAUCACUUAUAAAUUCAUCAAGAUGGAAUGCUCAGAAACAUGUCUACCAUUGGUCAGAAGCGACUUUCUUCUCUAUUCUGCUGCUGAUAAUGAUCUGGUUUGAAGCAAUUUUGAUCCAAGAGGCACAUUCUAUGAAGAAGAGUCUUCCCUGGCUGCCAACUGCAUUUUUAUAUGGCCACAGUUAACAAAAAAAUACUAAUCUUCUUAAAGCAUCUGGAUGUGAAUGUUUCAUGAAAAGUGUUAUUCAGAUAUAAAUGGAUCCCAUUCUGUGCUUUAAAUGGAGUAUGCAUUCUCCUCCACUGGGUGGAGGAUUAUAUAUAAUAGCAAGAGUUGUGGUCCUUAAAAUAAAUUGAAUGCAUUGUUCCAGAUCUGCAUCCGAAUAAUACCAACCUUAUUAUCUUUAUUCAGACCAACCUAGCAAAUGAGGCGGUACAAAUACCUUAUAAACACUAGGCUGUUCUGAAAGCCUGAGACAUACUUGAUCGCUGAUUACACAGUCACUUAAGAGGGGGAAUCUGAGAACAAAACAAAAGUAAUUAAGUACAGGAAGCUUGUGUUUUAAUUAUAAGCAAAGAAAUUAAGUAAAACAAAGCAUUAUCACUUUGAAAAGAAGACUAUAACAGAAAGUGCCUCGAUUGUGACUCCAGAAAGCAUUACUUAGUAGUCAACUAACUCGCUUCAUUUAACAAUAGGAAAUCAAGACAGUGGGCCCAAAUGUGUUUUUCUCUCACUGCGGUGUAAUUUGAUUCUUUUGCUUUCCUUUGUG